CUUUGAAUAAAGUCUACACAACUUUUUCCAGCAGUCAAAUUUCCCACAGUGUGGCUCCCUCCUAUAUUUGAAACCUUUGUUCUGGUGGCUCCUCCAUUGAAAUUCCAGAAAGAAAAAACACUGUUCAUAUGAGAGCAAAGCUGUGGAGAGGGGCAAGUGCAAAGCACUUGGUGAAAGGAAGUUUUUGUAAACUUUUUAGAUUUAAUUUCUGGCAUACAAUCUCUGGAAGCCGAACAAUGCAAGUUCUAAAUUAUCACAGAUACAUCUGUAUGUGUGUGUCUCAUCCUCUAGACUAAGGAAACUCUAUAAAUGGGCUACUAUGAUCUUUAUAGCAUGUAAAUGAUGAAAAUAAAGAAGGAUGUUGCUCAAGCCUCCCAUCUGUCAAAGCCCCUAGCCUAUCACAUUAUGCAACCUUUGUAAAUAUUCAUUGAAUUUAGAAUGAACAAAUUAAUGAGCGCAUGCAUGAAUGAAUGGAAAAACUACUGUGGCAGGUGCUGGUGGUGUCCUGCCUAUAUCUUGCAAAUACUGAAAAUACCUGCAACUUUCUACUGGAAGUCUUUUUUUUUCUUUCUUUCCUGGCUACAGAUGUGUUCCCAACCUACCCCCAGUUCAAGCUGGAAGUGUCAGAGAGUUGCAGUGCUUUCUAGGAUCACUUCACUGCACAAAACAACCCCCAAAACACAAGAAACCCCCAAACCAAAAAAACUA